rnacentral:rRNA from 1 species
GAUGAACGCUGGCGGCGUGCCUAAUACAUGCAAGUCGAGCGAACAGAUGAGGAGCUUGCUCCUCUGACGUUAGCGGCGGACGGGUGAGUAACACGUGGAUAACCUACCUAUAAGACUGGGAUAACUUCGGGAAACCGGAGCUAAUACCGGAUGAUAUAUUGAACCGCAUGGUUCAAUAGUGAAAGACGGUUUUGCUGUCACUUAUAGAUGGAUCCGCGCCGCAUUAGCUAGUUGGUAAGGUAACGGCUUACCAAGGCAACGAUGCGUAGCCGACCUGAGAGGGUGGUCGGCCACACGGGAACUGAGACACGGUCCAGACUCCUACGGGAGGCAGCAGUAGGGAAUCUUACGCAAUGGGCGAAAGCCUGACGGAGCAACGCGGCGUGAGUGAUGAAGGUCUUCGGAUCGUAAAACUCUGUUAUUAGGGAAGAACAAAUGUGUAAGUAACUAUGCACGUCUUGACGGUACCUAAUCAGAAAGCCACGGCUAACUACGUG